CAUGACUUGCGCGGCACUUUCUUUUCCUGCUUUCUGAUAUCAUUGAACUAUUAUGUCGACCACAUUGCACCAUUGCAAUCAUCGUUGUGGUCUUUCACCCUACAUUGCACUAAUAAUCGCCGUGCGCGUCGCACCCUUAAUCCCCUCGCAUUUGAAUGCUAGUGGAAGGCACGAUGAGUGACGUGUAAGGUAUAUUCGGUAAGUGAGGAAGAGAUGUACUGGCGGGUUUGUCAGCCCACGAUUCGUUUUUUUAAAUAUCGGUUCUUCAGAUGCAUCUCCCUUUACGGAAACACAACCUUUGGUGAAGGACGUGAAUCGACAACGGCGUUCCCUGCAAGAGGAAACGCAGCGCCGAAGUACGAGAUGGAGCCUCCUCCUACACUGCCGCGGCUCUUCCUCCUGCCGGGAACGCCGUUCCUCGCCUUCGCAUCCUUGACCAAUAGUUACUAGGCUACAGUUCAUCCAUGACGUUAAGGCAACGACGGUAGAUGGCUGAAGCAGAGUUCGCGGAGUAGGCGGCUCGCUGCGAAGGGAGCCGAAGCAGAGUUCGUGGAGUAGGCGGCUCGCUCCGAAGGGUACCAUCCAGCAAUGAGGCGUUAAGAUUGAUUCGUGCUAUCUGGACUGCGUUAUUUGCCACGAGCCCAUUGGCCCUCCUCUCAUACAGAGCGGAGCUCCAAAGGGCUUGAGGCAAAUAAAGCACUCCAGAUAGUGCAAAUCAAUCUUAAGGCCUCGUUGCUGGAUCUACACUUCCGAACGACCCUCCUCCUACUCGCAGUCUCCUUCGGCAGUCUCCUUCUCGCAGUCUCCUCCUCGCAGUCUUCUCCUCGCAGUCUUCUACUUGCAAUCUCCUCCUCGCAGUCUCCUGCGGAAGUCUCCCCUGGCCUAUACAUGUUAUCUUAGGCUAUGUGCGCGUGGAAUUGCAGACAAGCUUCGAUGAUUAGAUAUUUCUGUAACAUAAUUUUUAUUAUGUUCAAUUUGUUAUUGUUGAAGUAAUAGAAUUUUUCAUUGUAGGCAAAUCCUUUUUGUAUUGUGUAAACUUGUAUAAAAUCGUGUACUCGGAUUUAAAGAAGAAAAUAUAAUUCUUGUUCACAAAUUAA